AGUGAACGCUGGCGGUAGGCCUAACACAUGCAAGUCGAACGGCAGCACAGUAAGAGCUUGCUCUUACGGGUGGCGAGUGGCGGACGGGUGAGGAAUACAUCGGAAUCUACUUUUUCGUGGGGGAUAACGUAGGGAAACUUACGCUAAUACCGCAUACGACCUACGGGUGAAAGCAGGGGAUCUUCGGACCUUGCGCGAUUGAAUGAGCCGAUGUCGGAUUAGCUAGUUGGCGGGGUAAAGGCCCACCAAGGCGACGAUCCGUAGCUGGUCUGAGAGGAUGAUCAGCCACACUGGAACUGAGACACGGUCCAGAUUCCUACGGGAGGCAGCAGUGUGGAAUAUUGGACAAUGGGCGCAAGCCUGAUCCAGCCAUACCGCGUGGGUGAAGAAGGCCUUCGGGUUGUAAAGCCCUUUUGUUGGGAAAGAAAAGCAGCAGGUUAAUACCCCGCUGUUCUGACGGUACCCAAAGAAUAAGCACCGGCUAACUUCGUG
rnacentral:rRNA from 1 species